AUUGAACGCUGGCGGCAUGCCUUACACAUGCAAGUCGAACGGCAGCACGGGUGCUUGCACCUGGUGGCGAGUGGCGAACGGGUGAGUAAUACAUCGGAACAUGUCCUGUAGUGGGGGAUAGCCCGGCGAAAGCCGGAUUAAUACCGCAUACGAUCCACGGAUGAAAGCGGGGGACCUUCGGGCCUCGCGCUAUAGGGUUGGCCGAUGGCUGAUUAGCUAGUUGGUGGGGUAAAGGCCUACCAAGGCGACGAUCAGUAGCUGGUCUGAGAGGACGACCAGCCACACUGGGACUGAGACACGGCCCAGACUCCUACGGGAGGCAGCAGUGGGGAAUUUUGGACAAUGGCCGAAAGCCUGAUCCAGCAAUGCCGCGUGUGUGAAGAAGGCCUUCGGGUUGUAAAGCACUUUUGUCCGGAAAGAAAUCCUUGGCUCUAAUACAGUCGGGGGAUGACGGUACCGGAAGAAUAAGCACCGGCUAACUACGUG
rnacentral:rRNA from 1 species